rnacentral:rRNA from 1 species
UUAGUGGCGGACGGGUGAGUAACGCGUGGGUAACCUGCCUCACACUGGGGGAUAACAGUUAGAAAUAGCUGCUAAUACCGCAUAAGCGCACGGUUCCGCAUGGAACAGUGUGAAAAACUCCGGUGGUGUGAGAUGGACCCGUGUCUGAUUAGCCAGUUGGCGGGGUAACGGCCUACCAAGGCGACGAUCAGUAGCCGGCCUGAGAGGGUGAACGGCCACAUUGGGACUGAGACACGGCCCAAACUCCUACGGGAGGCAGCAUG